CCGCAACGAGCGCAACCCUUGUCAUUAGUUGCUACAUUCAGUUGGGCACUUUAAUGAGACUGCCGGUGACAAACCGGAGGAAGGUGGGGAUGACGUCAAGUCCUCAUGGCCCUUAUAGGUAGGGCUACACACGUCAUACAAUGGAUGGUACAAAGGGUCGCCAACCCGCGAGGGGGAGCCAAUCCCAUAAAACCAUUCGUAGUCCGGAUCGCAGUCUGCAACUCGACUGCGUGAAGUCGGAAUCGCUAGUAAUCGUGGAUUAGAAUGUCACGGUGAAUACGUUCCCGGGUCUUGUACACAC
rnacentral:rRNA from 1 species